UAUCAAGAUCAAUGAACUCUGUGUGCUCUGAGCUUCUUUACAGUGUUGUCUUGUGGCAUGGAGAUCAAGCAGCAUUGUACAGGGCUAUCACAGCACACUGAACAGCCACACGAUAAACGU
rnacentral:precursor_RNA from 8 species